GGAAGGCGGUAGCUCAGUAGUACAGCAUCUGCCUUGCAUGCAAAUGAUCCAAGGUUAAAUCCCCAGGCUCUCCA